rnacentral:rRNA from 1 species
AUGACCAGCCGCAAAACUGGCCCGGGCGCAGGCGGGCGCUGGAGCGACGGCGAGACGUCCGCUCUCCUGGACGCGUGGGGCCAGAUUUAUCUCCGCCGCAACCGCAGCUCGCUCCGCAUGGACGACUGGCUCACUGUGUGCAGAGCUGUCAAUGCUCACCGCGGCGACCUCAACCGCACCCUUGCUCAGUGCCGGACGCGUCUCUGUACACUCAAGCAGAAGUACAAGGUGGAGGUCGCCAAGGGGCUGCCGGCGUUGGGGUCUCCCCACUUGGCCCGACUCCGGGGCUUCCUGGCCGACUCCAAGUUCUCCAACGGCCCGCCUCCCGGCUUCGACGGUAAGACUCCGGCGGCUGCCGUCAAGAUGGAGGAAGAGGAGGAGAAGGAGGAAGAGGAGGGGGAGGAGGAGGCGAGCGGAUGCGUGGGUGGAUCGACCGGCAGGAGUGAGGUCCCGGUGAAGCGCCAGCGCCACUUUUCCAGCCUACGGGACAUCCUGGAGCGAUCAGGCGACCCGUCCCUGGCAAAGACGCCGGCGACCGUCUGCUGCGGCUGUGAGUUGGUUGGGGGUUCGGCGACUGGGGUGACGAAGCUGGUGGCGGAGAUAAGGAAGGUGGCGGAGGUGCACGAGCGCGUGGAGAUGGAGAGGCACAAGUUCAAGAAGGAGAUGCAGAUCCUCAAGAUGAUGGAGCUGAAGGACGUGAGGCUGGAGCACAAGAAGGUGAAGGAGAAUCCGAAAGAAGCCGACGGCAAGUAG